ensembl:lncRNA
GCACGUGGUUCUGAGACAGAUCACAGCCCAGAGAUCCUCCCGGGCUGUAGCUGACCAGCACCAGGGCCAUCAGUAGAGAGAGCACGAAAUCCAUGGGGAAGAUGAGGCUGCUGCUCAGCUGGCUGAGAUGGCGUCUGGUGCAACCUUGGAGGACAUUCAUUCAGGUUCCUGAGGUUACAUUUCACUGGGACCACAGGUCAUGAGAAAUGGAGUGUUUCCUGCCAUAUCAGUAAACCAGGAUGACAAAGUCAUCAGUUUCCAGCCCUCCAGGGUGC